rnacentral:rRNA from 1 species
GACGAACGCUGGCGGCGUGCCUAAUACAUGCAAGUAGAACGCUGAAGGAGGAGCUUGCUUCUCUGGAUGAGUUGCGAACGGGUGAGUAACGCGUAGGUAACCUGCCUGGUAGCGGGGGAUAACUAUUGGAAACGAUAGCUAAUACCGCAUAAUAGUAGAUGUUGCAUGACAUUUGCUUAAAAGGUGCAAUUGCAUCACUACCAGAUGGACCUGCGUUGUAUUAGCUAGUUGGUGAGGUAACGGCUCACCAAGGCAACGAUACAUAGCCGACCUGAGAGGGUGAUCGGCCACACUGGGACUGAGACACGGCCCAGACUCCUACGGGAGGCAGCAGUAGGGAAUCUUCGGCAAUGGACGGAGGUCUGACCGAGCAACGCCGCGUGAGUGAAGAAGGUUUUCGGAUCGUAAAGCUCUGUUGUAAGAGAAGAACGAGUGUGAGAGUGGAAAGUUCACACUGUGACGGUAUCUUACCAGAAAGGGACGGCUAACUACGUG